GAAAAACAAUGGCUGUUCCAAGUAAUGGCCAUUAUUGGCCAGGUAAUUCUACUUUCAUUUGUUCAAGGUUGGAGACACAGCUCUGAGAACUAUCUACAAACACACUGUGAUGGAGGUGCCUUUUGAAUACAAAAGGCUCGGCUCUAAUUAUUAACAGUAAUGACUGGUGCAUUUAGUUUAAUUGAUAAUCUUGUCACAAUGCAGUGCUGCUAUCCAUGUAAUACACAUCAAAGUACCAUAACCAUGCUAAAGACCCAGCAUAUGCCUUGGGUAAGGCAAUCCCAAUAGCAGUGGUCUCCCCACAGCAGGAUAAUAUGCCCUUCCCCACAAGAAAGAGGUUUAUACCCAGGCCCCCCAAAACACCAGGCUGUCUUCUGCUUUCUGACAGGCCUCUUAGGAGUCACAACACUAGAUCACCCUGUUCGGUUAAGGGUCUGCUAAAUGUGCUGAAAUGAGCCUUAUUUCACAAAUAACCCACCCAAAAAUCUGCAGGUCAUAAAAGAUCCUCUAGGGUUGUUGUAGCUCUGGAGGUAGAGCAGGUCAUUUACUAAGCAGAAGGUUGGUGGUUUGAUUCCUGGCUGCUCUAGUCUGCAUGCCAAAUAACCUUCACUGUAAACCCCAACAGUCUACCUGACUUAUAAAGUUUGUGGAUAUAACAAUUGAAAUUCCUCACAAAGUUGAAACAACUUAAAACUUUUCUGUUCUGUUAACGAUUCAAACAGUUAUAAUUGUACAUGGCUUAGAAGUUAAGAGUAAAUACUGCUUUCUUAAUUAUGAUUUUUGAGUAAAUGUUUUUUUUCCGAGCUCCGCAUGUGUACGUCAACUACGUCAUGACGUUUUCUCUCUAACCUGAACGCCGUUGACAGAAAAUUCUGUUCAAUAUGGCUGCCCUUCUCAAGCGACUGGAGAGCACAUUUGGAGAAACUUGCUGAAGACCGACGACAAAAAGACCGAAGAAAAAAAAAUUCAGACUGCAAGUAAUUUCAGGUGGAGGCAGUAAACACAGAUCUACCAAGGGUCAGUGGCACAGUUCACCUUUUGUGGAGGCGCCUGAUAUCAACAUGAAACGCACUGCAGUACUUUGUGCCCUUCCUGUAUACCUGUGGGAGGAGGACCCAGAAUUCUUUAAGACAUGUAAUGAGGACGCAUUGGAUGAGUCGACCCUCAUUGACACUCCAGUUGCCCUUCUCACAGUGGUUAAGGACGGCGCUUCCCAGUCCAGUCCAUUUUACUUCCUCAAGCAUGGCUGUUGUGGUGAAAGGCGACUAGGUGAUGCGUGAAAUUCCCAGAUUUGCAGAUGCAUUUGCUUUAUUGUUUGGCUUGAUCUAUGCUCUGCAUUUAGACUACCCCAGGAAGCUCGUUCACACAUUUACCUUUGUCCAAAAUAUCUUCAUGGGGCUUGAUGACGGCAAACCCCUGAAACCCCUGCCUACAUGCUCUUAAGGAAUAUAAGGCAAUGUUUGUUAGGACAUGCACUCUGUUACUGAGCACUUUGUUUGAAGCACUUUAUUUAAAGCACUUUAAGUUUACUACAGGCUUUGGGUGGAUUUAACUCCAUCAGUUUAUCUAAUUUUCCUAUACUUGACUGCCUGUUCUGGUUAUUUGGAAGCUGAUCGUCUUUCUUUGUACCCAUUUUAAAAAACUGUUUUUCAUUUCUAUUUAAAAAUAAAAGUGAUUAGUAUUUGA